rnacentral:rRNA from 1 species
CGGAGGGAAACCGAGUCUUAACCGGGCGUUAAGUUGCAGGGUAUAGACCCGAAACCCGGUGAUCUAGCCAUGGGCAGGUUGAAGGUUGGGUAACACUAACUGGAGGACCGAACCGACUAAUGUUGAAAAAUUAGCGGAUGACCUGUGGCUGGGGGUGAAAGGCCAAUCAAACCGGGAGAUAGCUGGUUCUCCCCGAAAGCUAUUUAGGUAGCGCCUCGUGAAUUCAUCUCCGGGGGUAGAGCACUGUUUCGGCUAGGGGGCCAUCCCGGCUUACCAACCCGAUGCAAACUGCGAAUACCGGAGAAUGUUAUCACGGGAGACACACGGCGGGUGCUAACGUCCGUCGUGAAGAGGGAAACAACCCAGACCGCCAGCUAAGGUCCCAAAGUCAUGGUUAAGUGGGAAACGAUGUGGGAAGGCCCAGACAGCCAGGAUGUUGGCUUAGAAGCAGCCAUCAUUUAAAGAAAGCGUAAUAGCUCACUGGUCGAGUCGGCCUGCGCGGAAGAUGUAACGGGGCUAAACCAUGCACCGAAGCUGCGGCAGCGAACGUAUCACUUAAAGCGAUUCAGCGGGUUACGAUUGACGGAGCGAAGCGACGUCAAAGCGUAUACAAAGUCGAGUCGGUUUAAGGAUACGUUCGUUGGGUAGGGGAGCGUUCUGUAAGCCUG